AGGUGCAUAGCUCAACUGGCAGAGCAGGCGACUUUUAAUCGUCGGGUUCAGGGUUCGAUUCCCUGUGCACCUACAA
rnacentral:tRNA from 1 species